rnacentral:rRNA from 1 species
GUAGAACGCUGAAAGGAGGGAGCUUGCUUCUUCUGGAUGAGUUGCGAACGGGUGAGUAACGCGUAGGUAACCUGCCUGAUAGCGGGGGAUAACUAUUGGAAACGAUAGCUAAUACCGCAUAAGAGGUAAUAACACAUGUUAUUAGUUUAAAAGGGGCAAUUGCUCCACUAUCAGAUGGACCUGCGUUGUAUUAGCUAGUUGGUAAGGUAACGGCUUACCAAGGCGACGAUACAUAGCCGACCUGAGAGGGUGAUCGGCCACACUGGGACUGAGACACGGCCCAGACUCCUACGGGAGGCAGCAGUAGGGAAUCUUCGGCAAUGGGGGCAACCCUGACCGAGCAACGCCGCGUGAGUGAAGAAGGUUUUCGGAUCGUAAAGCUCUGUUGUAAGAGAAGAACGGAUGUGGGAGUGGAAAAUCCAUGUCGUGACGGUAUCUUACCAGAAAGGGACGGCUAACUACGUGCCAGCAGCCGCGGUAAUACGUAGGUCCCGAGCGUUGUCCGGAUUUAUUGGGCGUAAAGCGAGCGCAGGCGGUUUCAUAAGUCUGAAGUUAAAGGCAGUGGCUUAACCAUUGUUCGCUUUGGAAACUGUUAAACUUGAGUGCAGAAGGGGAGAGUGGAAUUCCAUGUGUAGCGGUGAAAUGCGUAGAUAUAUGGAGGAACACCGGUGGCGAAAGCGGCUCUCUGGUCUGUAACUGACGCUGAGGCUCGAAAGCGUGGGGAGCAAACAGGAUUAGAUACCCUGGUAGUCCACGCCGUAAACGAUGAGUGCUAGGUGUUAGGCCCUUUCCGGGGCUUAGUGCCGCAGCUAACGCAAUA